rnacentral:rRNA from 1 species
GCUGUUAAGGGUUCGUAGUUGAAUUGAGGGCAGUUCAGGAGUUAAUCUAAGUCCCUACCUCCGGUAGCGACCGAUUCUCUGUCUGUCCGUGAACAUCCGAAACAAAUUUCACGGGAACGUCCGCCUCCCUUUUCGCAGGCAACGUCUGCGGGGGGCCGCCCGUGUUUUUACUGUGACUAAAAAGCGCGACCAAAGCAGUCGUUCGACAUGUAUUUGAAAGCAUGGGAUAACAACGAGCAGCCUACGGAGUUCCGUUUCGGCUUUUGUUGGUUUUAAAUCUCUGUGGGAGACUAUGGCUCGCAUGACAAGUGGCUCGGGGUUUCCAUCCCCACACCUCCUCUUCGUUUUGCUUUCGGGCUGCGUUGGGGCUUGCGUGGUCCAGGAAUGAAGGAGGGUUGUUCGGGGGAGGACGUCUUGAGCGUGAGAGGUGAAAUUCUUAGACCGCCCAAAGACGAACUACAGCGAAGGCAUUCUCCAGGAUACCUUCAUCAAUCAAGAACCAAAGUG